UACCAGCACCCCGAGUGGUCGGGACGAUUAUUGGGCCUAAAGCAUCCGUAGCCGGUCCUGCAAGUCUUCCGUUAAAUCCAGCUGCUCAACAGAUGGGCUGCGGGGGGAUACUACAGGGCUAGGAGGCGGGAGAGGCAAGCGGUACUUUAUGGGUAGGGGGUAAAAUCCGUUGAUCCAUAGAAGACCACCAGUGGCGAAGGCGGCUUGCCAGAAUGCGCUCGACGGUGAGGGAUGAAAGCUGGGGGGAGCAAACCGG
rnacentral:rRNA from 1 species